rnacentral:rRNA from 1 species
GGUUGUCAUGCCAAUGGCACUGCCCGGUAGCUAAAUGCGGAAGAGAUAAGUGCUGAAAGCAUCUAAGCACGAAACUUGCCCCGAGAUGAGUUCUCCCUGAGACUAUAAGUCUCCUGAAGGAACGUUAAAGACGAUGACGUUGAUAGGCCGGGUGUGUAAGCGCAGCGAUGCGUUGAGCUAACCGGUACUAAUGAACCGUGAGGCUUAACCUUACAACGCCGAAG